UGAAUACGAGACGCUAAGGCGUCGAAGUAGUGUAUAUCAUACUUCCAAGAAAAGCUUGCAAUGUCAUAGAUAAAAAACGCCUGUACCAUAACCGACACAGGUGGGUAGGUAGAGUAUACUAAGGGGCGCGAGAUAACUCUCUCUAAGGAACUCGGCAAAAUAACUCCGUAACUUCGGGAGAAGGAGUGCCUUAUUCGUAAGGUUGCAAUAACAAGAUCCAAGCAACUGUUUAUCAAAAACACAGGUCUCCGCUAAGUCGCAAGACGAUGUAUGGGGGCUGACGCCUGCCCAGUGCCAGAAGGUUAAAGAAGUUGGUUAGCAAUUGCGAAGCUGAUAACUGAAGCCCUGGUGAACGGCGGCCGUAACAAUAACGGUCCUAAGGUAGCGAAAUUCCUUGUCGGGUAAGUUCCGACCCGCACGAAAGGCGUAAUGAUUUGGAUACUGUCUCGGAGAGGGGCUCGGUGAAAUAGACUUGUCUGUGAAGAUGCGGACUACCUGCACCAGGACAGAAAGACCCUAUGAAGCUUUACUGUAACUUGAAAUUGAAAUUGGACAUUAUUCGCGCAGUAUAGGUGGGAGGCGUUGAUUAUAAUCUUGCGGGAUUAUUGGAGCCAUCAGUGAGAUACCACUCUUGUAAUGUUAGAUUUCUAACUUUGAAUCAUUAUCUGGUCAAAGAACAGUUUCAGGCGGGCAGUUUGACUGGGGCGGUCGCCUCCUAAACGGUAACGGAGGCGUACAAAGGUUUCCUCUGAACGGUUAGAAAUCGUAUCUAGAGUGUAAAGGCAUAAGGAAGCUUGACUGUGAGACCUACAAGUCGAGCAGGGACGAAAGUCGGUCUUAGUGAUCUGACGGUACUGAGUGGAAAGGCCGUCACUCAACGGAUAAAAGCUACUCUAGGAUAACAGGCUGAUCUCCCCCAAGAGUUCACAUCGACGGGGAGGUUUGGCACCUCGAUGUCGGCUCAUCGCAUCCUGGGGCGGUAGUACGUCCCAAGGGUUGGGCUGUUCGCCCAUGAAAGCGGUACGCGAGCUGGGUUCAGAACGUCGUGAGACAGUUCGGUCCAUAUCCGGUGUAGGCGUUAGAAUAUUGAGAGGAGCCUUCUUUAGUACGAGAGGACCGAGAAGGACAUACCUCUGGUGUACCAGUUAUCGUGCCGACGGUAAACGCUGGGUAGCUAUGUAUGGAGUGGAUAACCGCUGAAAGCAUCUAAGUGGGAAGCCCACCUCAAGAUAAG
rnacentral:rRNA from 1 species